AGCAGCGUGGCUCAGCGGAAAGAGCACGGGCUUGGAAGUCAGAGGUCAUGGGUUUGAAUCCCAGCUCUGCCA
rnacentral:tRNA from 1 species